CAGAGAACCUCACAGAGAGCUGGGCUGCAUCCCACCUCCCGGACCCAUCAACUGAGUUUGCUCUGAACUAACAACAGUGCAUUUUGUAAGGUCUGCAGCUGGUUCUUGGGGAGACCUCAGAGUCAGUCUCUUCACCACCCCCAAAAUAAUUGGGGGGUGGGGUGGAGUUGCCUAGGCUAAAUCCCGCUUUUCAAGGAAGCAAGAUUUGAGUGGGAUCAUCCUGCAUUAUUGUGUGAGAGAAGCAGAAGCUCCAGAGGAGGGAAACCAGCCAGACCCUGAGAAAGGGGUCCAGAUGGGAGGGAGGAAGGAAGUGGCCAGGUCCUGUGGGUGGAGAGAGGGAAGGGAGGCAGCUGCUGGCAUAGAGUGAGCAUCAGAGGGACAUCCCCAAGGCAACAUACUGGCCACACUUGAGCUGUGGUGAGAAAUCCCAAACUCAGCAAAAGGAGGAGAACACGUUGGGGGAGAGGCGAGGAUGAGGAAGUCAUUCUGGGUGGUGACGCCACAGGUCCAGUGGAGACAGCAGCCUGGACUCCUUACCUCUGAGAAUCCCAAGCUGGGUGGCCCUGUCUCCACCAUGGGCUCCAGACUCCUCUGCUGUGUGGUCCUCUGCCUCCUGGGAGCAGGCACCUUGGACACAGCUGUUUUCCAGACUCCAAAGUAUCUCAUCAUACAGACAAGAAAUAAGAGGUCCCUAAAAUGUGAGCAAAAGCUGAGCCAUGACUCUAUGUACUGGUAUAAGCAAGGCUUCAAACAAUUGCUUGAGAUUAUGUUUAUCUACAAUAACAAGGAGCUCAUUCUAAAUGAAACAGUUCCACGUCGCUUCUUACCUGAAUCUCCUGACAAAGCUCAUUUAUAUCUUCACAUCGACUCCCUGGAGCCAGGCGACUCUGCUGUGUAUUUCUGUGCCAGCAGUUAAGACACAGCCCGCAGAGUCACCAGCUCCCUGUGCAAAAACCCUGGUCUAGGCAGGAAGCUGUGGGACAAGAUGUUUGUGCAACUCAAGGCUCCAUUAACACCGUGAACCUCAGUCUGCAGUACAGCUGGCCAGUACACCCCAUGGAGCAGGACUGCCUCUAUACACACAGAGGUCUUACAGAAUUCUGACCUCUCAGCUAGAGCAGGGGGUUCCAUGAAAUUCCCUGAAGCACUCAGGGUUGCAUGAACAAGAAAGGACCCUGUCUGAUGCGCUGAAGAUCUUAACUGAUGGAAGAAGCCAUUCCUUGCCUUUCUCUGCUGUACACAUCGGUACAUGUUGUACAUAACAUUAUGAUUGAAAGCACACUAUUUGCUAAGAAUUUUUGAUGAGCAAAAGCCUAAAGGAAGGUGAAGAUAAAAUUUCUAGGACCAAAAGGAAAUUCAGAUGAUCAAUGAGUUCACUGCUCAGUGGAAAAUUAUUCAAUGACGCAUGAAAAUACAUGGAGCCAGGUGUGUGGUUAGGCCAUUUAAGAAGCCUCUUCUCAGAGAUCCUGUCUGGUGCAGCAGAAAUGAAUCCAACUAGGAACCAUGAGGUUGAGGGUUCGACCCCUGGCCUC